rnacentral:misc_RNA from 1 species
UUUCCGUAGGUGAACCUGCGGAAGGAUCAUUAAAGUUAUAGUCCCCCGGCCCUCUGGGCUGGGGUCUUCUAUACAACCCUUUGUUGAUUACGCCUUUGUUGCUUUGGCAGGCCUGCCCUCGGGCUGCUGGCUCCGGCCGGCUCGCGUCUGCCACAGGACCUAAACUCUGUUUGUAUAUGAAGUCUGAGUACUAUAUAAUAGUUAAAACUUUCAACAACGGAUCUCUUGGUUCUG